AGCAUAUUAAUAAGCGGAGGAAAAGAAACUAACAAGGAUUCCCUGAGUAACUGCGAGUGAAAAGGGAAGAGCCCAGCACCCAAUCUCACAAUUCUGUAGUUGUCGAGAAAUUUGGUGUUUGGGAGAGUCUAUAAUCCUUAUCUAUUCAAAGAGUCCAAGUCCCUCUUGAAUGGGGCCACGGCCCAUAGAGGGUGGUAGGCCCGUGGGACCGUUGAAUUUAUAGGGAAGGCUUCUCCUUAGAGUCGGGUUGCUUGGUAAUGCAGCCCCAAGUGGGUGGUAAACUCCAUCUAAGGCUAAAUAUGACCACGAGACCGAUAGC
rnacentral:rRNA from 1 species